rnacentral:rRNA from 1 species
GUGAGGAAUAUUGGUCAAUGGGCGCAAGCCUGAACCAGCCAUGCCGCGUGCAGGAAGACGGUCCUAUGGAUUGUAAACUGCUUUUAUUUGGGAAUAAACUCCGGUACGUGUACCGGCCUGAAGGUACCAAAUGAAUAAGCACCGGCUAACUCCGUGCCAGCAGCCGCGGUAAUACGGAGGGUGCAAGCGUUAUCCGGAAUCAUUGGGUUUAAAGGGUCCGCAGGCGGUCUUAUAAGUCAGUGGUGAAAGCCUACAGCUCAACUGUAGAACUGCCAUUGAUACUGUAGGACUUGAAUUCGAUCGAAGUGGGCGGAAUGUGACAUGUAGCGGUGAAAUGCUUAGAUAUGUCACAGAACACCGAUAGCGAAGGCAGCUCACUAGGUCUGGAUUGACGCUCAGGGACGAAAGCGUGAGGAGCAAACAGGAUUAGAAACCCCGGUAGUCC